GCCCUGCACUGCACUGUGGCCAUGGGCAGUGCUCCAGGCCUGCUUGGUGUGGACAUGGUGGUGAGCCGUGGCAAGGACCAGAAUGGAUCACAGAUGAUCGUUGGCCAACAGGUGGCAGAAGAGGAAUUCCUGCCUUCCUCAAGAGGAACACCUACCCCUUGGCUAAUGCUGGGGUCGGAUUUUGAUUUAUAUUUAUCUUUUGGAUGUCAGUCAUACAGUCUGAUUUUGUGGUUUGCUAGUGUUUGAAUUUAAGUCUUAAGUGACUAUUAUAGAAAUGUAUUAAGAGGCUUUAUUUGUAGAAUUCAUUUUAAUUAUAUUUAAUGAGUUUUUGUUUUGAGUUCCUUAAAAUUCCUUAAAGUUUUUAGCUUCUCGUUACAAAUUCCUUAACCUUUUUUUGGCAGUAGAUAGUCAAAGUCAAAUCAUUUCUAAUGUUUUAAAAAUGUGCUGGUUAUUUUCUUUGAAAUUGACUUAACUAUUUUCCUUUGGAUUUUGAAGAGUCUGUAGCACAGAAACAGUAAAAAAUUUAACUUCAUGACCUAAUGUAAAAAAGUGUUUGAAGGUUUACACAGGUCCAGGCCUUGCUUUGUUCCCAUCCUUGAUGCUGCACUAAUUGACUAAUCACCUACUUAUCAGACAGGAAACUUGAAUUGCUGUGGUCUGGUGUCCCCUAUUCAUACUUAUUAUAUUGGAGUAUUUCAAUUUUUGGUUAUAUCCUGCCUGCCUAGCAUCCAGUUCCUCCCCAGCCCUGCUCCCAGCAAACCCCUAGUCUAGCCCCAGCCCUUCUCCCACCCCGCCCCAGCCCUGCCCCAGCCCCAGUCCCCUAAGCCCCCAGCCCUAGCCCCAGUCCCAGUCCUGGUUCCUCAGUCCCGCCCAGCUUUUCUUGAAAGUCACUCUAAUUUUCAUUGAUUCAGUGCUCAAAAUAAGUUGUCCAUUGCUUAUCCUAUUAUAUUGGGAUAUUCUGUUUACCCUUGGCAUUGCUGAUCUUCAGUACUGACUCCUUGACCAUUUUCAGUUAAUGCAUACAAUCCCAUUUGUCUGUGAUCUCAGAACAAAGAAUUUCCUUACUCGGUACGUUAAGGUUAGGGAAUGUCAAUUGAGAGCUUUCUAUCAGAGCAUUAUUGCCCACAAUUUGAGUUACUUAUCAUUUUCUCGAUCCCCUGCCCUUAAAGGAGAAACCAUUUCUCUGUCAUUGCUUCUGUAGUCACAGUCCCAAUUUUGAGUAGUGAUCUUUUCUUGUGUACUGUGUUGGCCACCUAAAACUCUUUGCAUUGAGUAAAAUUCUAAUUGCCUAUAAUCCUACCCAUUGGAUUACACAGCACUCUGAACCCCAUUUGCAUUCAGCAGGGGGUCGCAGACAACCCGUCUUUUGUUGGACAGUUAAAAUGCUCAGUCCCAAUUGUCAUAGCUUUGCCUAUUAAACAAAGGCACCCUACUGCGCUUUUUGCUGUGCUUCUGGAGAAUCCUGCUGUUCUUGGACAAUUAAAGAACAAAGUAGUAAUUGCUAAUUGUCUCACCCAUUAAUCAUGAAGACUACCAGUCGCCCUUGCAUUUGCCUUGAGGCAGUGCUGACUACCUGAGAUUUAAGAGUUUCUUAAAUUAUUGAGUAAAAUCCCAAUUAUCCAUAGUUAUGUUAGUUACACUAUGGUCUUUGCAAACAUCUCUGCGUAACAGCAGUGGGACUGACUCAUUCUUAGAGCCCCUUCCCUUAGAAUGUUAAUGGAUACAAUAGUAAUUAUUCAUAGUUCUGUGUAACAGAAAAGACCCACUUAUGUAUAUGCCCUUAUCAUUGCUCCUAGGUAGUGUGAACUACCUACCACCACCUUCCAUUAAUAUGUAAAACACUAAUUGCCCAUAGUCCCACUCAUUGGUCUAGGAUGUCCCCUUUGCCAUUGCUGCUGAGUUCUGACUACCCAAGUUUCCUUCUCUUAAACAGUUGAUAUGCAUAAUUGCAUAUAUUCAUGGUUCUGUGCAAUAAAAAUGGAUUCUCACCCCAUCCCACCUUCUGUGGGAUGUUGCUAACGAGUGCAGAUUAUUCCGUAACAGCUCUUGGACAGUUAAUUUGCACAGUUGCAAUUGUCCAGAGUCCUGUCCAUUAGAAAGGGACUCUGUAUCCUAUUUGCACGCUACAAUGUGGGCUGAUCACCCAAGGACUCUUCUUGUGCAUUGACGUUCAUAAUUGUAUUUGUCCACGAUCUUGUGCACUAACCCUUCCACUCCCUUUGUAUUCCAGUAGGGGACCCUUACUACUCAAGACCUCUGUACUAGGACAGUUUAUGUGCACAAUCCUAAUUGAUUAGAACUGAGUCUUUUAUAUUAAGGUCCCUGCAUCAGCUUUGCUUUACAUCAAGAGGGUGCUGGUUACCUAAUGCCCCUCCUCCAGAAAUUAUUGAUGUGCAAAAUGCAAUUUCCCUAUCUGCUGUUAGUCUGGGGUCUCAUCCCCUCAUAUUCCUUUUGUCUUACAGCAGGGGGUACUUGGGACUGUUAAUGCGCAUAAUUGCAAUUAUGGUCUUUUCCAUUAAAUUAAGAUCCCAACCGCUCACACCCUCUUAGCAUUACAGUAGAGGGUGCUAAUCACAAGGACAUUUCUUUUGUACUGUUAAUGUGCUAGUUGCGUUUGUCCCUCUUCCUGUGCACUAAAGACCCCACUCACUUUCCUAGUGUUCAGCAGUGGAUGACCUCUAGUCAAGACCUUUGCACUAGGAUAGUUAAUGUGAACCAUGGCAACUGAUCACAACAAUGUCUUUCAGAUCAGAUCCAUUGUAUCCUCCUUGUUUUACAGCAAGGGAUAUUAAUUACCUAUGUUACCUUUCCCUGGGACUAUGAAUGUGCAAAAUUCCAAUGUUCAUGGUCUCUCCCUUUAAACCUAUAUUCUACCCCUUUUACAUUAUAGAAAGGGAUGCUGGCAACCCAAAGUCCUUCUCUUGGGACUCUUAAUGUGUAUUUUUAAUUGUCCAUGACUCUUAAUGUGCAUAUUUUCAAUUGUCUAAUUGAUUUCAAUUGUCUAAGACAUUUCAAAUGUCUAAUUGAUUAGAACUGAGUCUUUUAUAUCAAGCUAAUAUCUAGCUUUUAUAUCAAGCUAAUAUCUUGACUUCUCAGUAUCAUAGAAGGGGGUACUGAUUUCCUAAAGUCUUUCUUGAACUUUAUUAUGCAAAAUUGCCCUGAGGCCGGAUGUGGUGGCUCACACCUGUAAUCCCAGCACUUUGGGCGGCUGAGGUGGGAAGAUCCCUUACUGCUAGGAGUUUGAGACCAGCCUGGCCAACAUUAAAAAGAAAAAAAGUAAAACAAUUGCCCUGGAAUCCCAUCCCCCUCACACCUCCUUGGCAUAGCAGCAGGAGUGCUAACUAGCUAGUGCUUCUUCUCUUAUACUGCUUAAAUGCGCAUAAUUAACAGUAGUUGAUGUGCCCCUAUGUUAGAGUAGAAUCCCGCUUUCUUGCUCCAUUUGCAUUACUGCAGGAGCUUCUAACUAGCCUGAAUUCACUCUCUUGGACUGUUAAUGUGCAUAAUUACAUUUGCUGCUGUACUUUUUUACCAUGUAAGGACCCCACCCACUGUAUUUACAUCCCAGCUGGAAGUACCUACUACUUAAGAACCUUAGACUAGUAAAGUUAGCGUGCAUAAUCUUAGUUGUUAUAUACACAUUUUCAGUUGUAUACAGUUGUGCCUUUUAUCAGGACUCCUGUACUUAUCAAAGCAGAGAGUGCUAAUCAACAUUAAGCCCUUCUCUUCGGACUGUAGAUGCAUGUAAUUGCAGUUGUCAAUGGUCCUUCAAUUAGACUUGGGUUUCUGACCUAUCACACCCUCUUUGCUUUAUUGCAUGGGGUGCUAUUCAGUUAAGGCCCCUUUCUCAGACUGUUAAUGUGCCUAAUGACAAUUACAUCAGGAUCCUUCCUUUCGAAGGACAGCAUGGUUGGUGACACCUAAGGCCCCAUUUCUUGGCCUCCCAAUAUGUGUGAUUGUAUUUGUCGAGAUUGCUAUGCACUAGAGAAGGAAAGUGCUCCCCUCAUCCCCACUUUUCCCUUCCAGCAGGAAGUGCCCACCCCGUAAGACCCUUUUAUUUGGAGAGUCUAGGUGCACAAUUGUAAGUGACCACAAACAUGCCUCUUGGACAUUUAUGUGCGUAAUCGCACACUGCUCAUUCCAUGUGAAUAAGGUCCUACUCUCCGACCCCUUUUGCAAUACGGAAGGGUUGCUGAUAACCAAGUCCCCUUUUCUUGGCAUGUUAUGUGUGAUUAUAAUUGUCUGGGAUCCUAUGCACUAGAAAAGGAGGGUCCUCUCCACAUACCUCAGUCUCACCUUUCCCUUCCAGGAGGGAGUGCCCGCUCCAUAAGACUCUCACAUUUGGACAGUCAAGGUGCGUAAUUGUUAAGUGAACACAACCAUGCACCUUAGACAUGGAUUUGCAUAACUACACACAGCUCAUCCUAUCUGAAUAAAAUCCUACUCCCAGACCCCUUUUGCAGUACAGCAGGGGUGCUGAUCACCAAGGCCCCUGUUCCUGGCCUGGUACGCGUGUGAUUAUGUUUGUCCCGGUUCCUGUGUAUUAGACAUGGAAGCCUCCCCUGCCACACUCCACCCCCAAUCUUCCUUUCCCUUCUGGCAGGGAGUGCCCCCUCCGUAAGACGCUUACGUUUGGACAAUCAAGGUGCACAGUUGUAAGUGACCACAGGCAUGCACCUUGGACAUUAAUGUGCAUAACUGCACUUUGCCCAUUCCAUCUGAAUAAGGUCCUACUCUCAGACCCCUUUUGCAGUACAGCAGGGGUGCUGAUCACCAAGGCCCCUUUUCUUGGCCUGUUAUGUGCGUGAUUAUAUUUGUCUGGGUUCCUGUGUAUUAGACAAGGAAGCCUGCCCCCCCGCCCCCCGCCCCCACUCCCAGUCUUCCUUUCCCUUCCAGCAGGGAGUGCCCCCUCCAUAAGAUCAUUACAUUUGGACAGUCAAGGUGCACAAUUAUAAGUGACCACAGCCACGCACCUUGGACAUUAAUGUGCGUAACUGCACAUGGCCCAUCCCAUCUGAAUAAGGUCCUACUCUCAGAUACCCUUUGCAGUACAGCAGGGGUACUGAAUCACCAAGGCCCUUUUUCUUGGCCUGUUAUGUGUGUGAUUAUAUUUGUCCCGGUUUCUGUGUAAUAGACAUGAAAGCCUCCACUGCCACACCCCACCUCCAAUCUUCCUUUCCCUUCCAGCAGGAAGUGUCCACUCCGUAAACCCUUACAUUUGGACAAUCAAGGUGCACAAUUGUGAGUGAUCAUAGGCACGCACCUUGGACAUUAAUGUGCAUAACUGCACAUGGCCCAUCCCAUCUGAAUAAGGUCCUACUCUCAGACCCUUUUUGCAGUACAGCAGGGGUGCUGAUCACCAAGGCCCCUUUUCCUGGCCUGUUAUGUGUGUGAUUAUAUUUGUUCCAGUUCUUGUGUAAUAGACAUGGAAACCUCCCCUGCCACACUCCACCCCCAAUCUUCCUUUCCCUUCCGGCAGGGAGUACCCGUUCCAUAAGACCCUUACAUUUGGACAGUCAAGGUGCACAAUUGUAUGUGACCACAACCACGCACCUUGGACAUAAAUGUGUGUAACUGCACAUGGCCCAUCCCAUCUGAAUGAGGUCCUACUCUCAGACCCCUUUUGCAGUACAGUAGGGGUGCUGAUAACCAAGGCCCCUUUUCCUGGCCUGUUAACGUAUGUGAUUAUAUUUGUCUGGGUUCCAGUGUAUAAGACGUGGAAGCCUCCCCUGCCCCACCCCACCCUCAAUCUUCCUUUCCCUUUUGGCAGGGAGUGCCCCCUCCAUAAGAACCUUACAUUUGGACAGUCAAGGUGCACAAUUGUAAGUGACCGCAGCCAUGCACCUUGGUCAAUAAUGUGCGUAACUGCACACGGCCUAUCUCAUCUGAACAAGGCCCUACUCUCAGACCCCUUUUGCAGUACAGCAGGGGUGCUGAUAACCAAGGCCCAUUUUCCUGGCCUGUUAUGUGUGUGAUUAUAUUUGUCCAGGUUUCUGUGUACUAGACAAGGAAGCCUCCUCUGCCCCACCCCACCUACCCGUAAUCUUUCUUUUCCUCCCAGCAGCGAGUGCUCACUCCAUAAGACCCUUACAUUUGGACAAUCAAGGUGCACAAUUGUAAGUGACCACAACCAUGCAUCUUGGAAAUUUAUGUGCAUAACUGCACAUGGCUUAUCCUAUUUGAAUGAGGUCUUACUCUCAGACCUCCUUUGCAGUAUAGCUGGGGUGCUGAUCACUAAGGUCUCUUUUCUUGGCUCGUCUAUAUUCUUGUGUACUAGAUAAGGGCACCUCAUGGACUCCCUUUGCUUUUCAACAAGGAGUACCCACUACUUUUUAAUAUUCUUAUAUUUGUCCAAAGUACAUGGUUUUAAUUGACCACAACAAUGUCCCUUGGACAUUAAUGUACGUAAUCACCGCAUGGUUCAUCCUAAUUAAACAAGAUCCUACCCUCUCACCCUCCAUUUGCAGUAUACCAGGGUUGCUGACCCCCUAAGUCCCCUUUUCUUGGCGUGUUGACAUGCAUAAUUGCAUUUAUGUGGGUUCUUGUGCCCUAGACAAGGAUGUCCCACCUCUUUUCAGUAGUGGGUGCCCACUCCUUAUGAUCUUUACAUUUGAACAGUUAAUGUGAAUAAUUGCAGUUGUCCACAACCCUAUCACUUCUAGGACCACUGUACAUCUUUUACAUUACUGUGGGGUAUACUGUUUCCCUCCAAGGCCCCUUCUGGUGGACUAUCAACAUACAUAAUUGAAAUUUUCUUUUGUAUUUGUCAGUAGAUUAAAGUCAUACCCCAUCACCUUUCCUUUGUAGUACAGCAGGGUGUUCUGAUCAACCAAAGUCCUGUUGUUUUGGACUGUUAAUAUGUGCAAUUACAUUUGCUCCUGAUCUGUGCACUAGAUAAGGAUCCUACCUACUUUCUUAGCGUUUUUAGCAGGUAGUGCCCACUACUCAAGACUCUGUCACUUGGAAUGUUCAUGUGCACAAACACAAUUCUCUAAGCAUGUUCGUGUACCACCUUUGCUUCAGAGCAGAGGGAUGAUAUUCACUUAGUGCCCCUUCUUUUGGACUUAAUAUGCAUUAAUGCAAUUGUCCACCUCUUCUUUUAGACUAAGAGUUGAUCUCCACAUAUUCCCCUUGCAUCAGGGGCAUGUUAAUUAUGAAUGAACCCUUUUCUUUUAAUAUUAAUGUCAUAAUUGUAUUUGUGGACCUGUGUAGUAGAAAAAGACCCUAUGUUCCUCCCAUUACCCUUUGGAUUGCUGCUGAGAAGUGUUAACUACUCAUAAUCUCAGCUCUUGGACAAUUAAUAGCAUUAAUAACAGUUAUCAAGGGCACUGAUCAUUAGAUAAGACUCCUGCCUCCUCGUUGCAUACAUCGGGGGUACUGACCCACUAAGGCCCCUUGUACUGUUAACGUGAAUAUUUGCAAUUAUACAUGUCUCCUUCUGUUAAGAGUGGGAUAUUAUGCCCUAGUAUCCCCUUUGCAUUACUGCAGGGGCUGCUGACUACUCAAAACUUCUCCUGGGACUGUUAAUAGGCACAAUGGCAGUUAUCAAUGGUUUUUUCCCUCCCUGACCUUGUUAAGCAAGCACCCUACCCACCCUUAGUUUCCCAUGGUAUAAUAAAGUAUAAGCAUUGGAGUAUUCCAUGCCCUUGUCCAUCAAACAGUGGUCCAUACUCCCACCCCUUUUGCAUUGCACCAGUGUGUAAAAUCACAGGUAGCCAUGGUGUCAUGCUUUAUAUACGAAGUCUUCCCUCUCUCUGCCCUUUGUGUGCCCUUGGCCCCUUUUUACAGACUAUUGCUCACAAUCUCAGGUGUCCAUAUAUCCAGCUAUUAGAUAAGAUUGUGCUGUCUCCCUCCUCCCUUCCCUCCGCCCUGCCCCUUUUGCCUCUUUGCUGGGUAAUGUUGACCGGACAAGGUCCUUUCUCUUGGACUUAAACAAUUCUCAGUUGCACUUUCCUUGGUCCCACCCAUUAUACACGAACCCCUCUACUUCCUUUCGCAUUGCUUCUGAGUAUGCUGACUACCCAAAGCCCCUUCUGUGUUAUUAAUAAACACAGUACUGAUUGUCCCAUUUUUCAGCCCAUCAGUCGAAGAUCUCCCUACCACUUUGGUGUGUUUGUGCAGUGUUGACUAUGAAAAGCAGGCCUGAACUAGGUGGAUAAGCCUUCACUCAUUUUCUUUUAUUUAUUAAUGAUCCUAGUUUCAAUUAUUGUCAGAUUCUGGGGGCAAGAACCAUUCUUGCCCACCUGUGUUACUGCUUUACUGUGCAAAAUACUCAAGGCAAGUCAGACCCAGGGAGCGGGAUUGCCAUCCUUUAUUUUGUGUUUCCAGUAUACACUAUCAAAUUGUCUCCCCAGGAAGAAAGGUUGGCACUUUCUCUGCAUUCUUCUUUCCAGAGCAGAUUGCCUGGUUAAGAAUCUAUUGUUGUCCCCUUUGUAUAUUGUUAUUGUAAAGUGCCAAAUGCCAGGAUACAGCCAGAAAAAUUGCUGUUAUUAUUAUUAAAAAAUUUUUUUUAAGAAAGACAUCUGGAUUGUAGGGUGGACUCGAUAACCUGGUCAUUAUUUUUUUGAAGCCAAAAUAUCCAUUUAUACUAUGUACCUGGUGACCAGUGUCUCAUUUUAACUGAGGGUGGUGGGUCUGUGGAUAGAACACUGACUCUUGCUAUUUUAAUAUUAUCAAAGACGUUCUAGAGUGGAACUCUUAAGACCAGUAUCUUUGUGUGGGCUUUACCAGCAUUCACUUUUAGAAAAACUACCUAAAUUUUAUAAUCCUUUAAUUUCUUCAUCUGGAGCACCUGCCCCUACUUAUUUCAAGAAGAUUGCAGUAAAAUGAUUAAAUGAGGGAACAUAUGCAGAGGUGCUUUAAAAAAGCAUAUGCCACCUUUUUUAUUAAUUAAUCUAUUAUAUAAAAUGAAGCAUUUAAUUAUAGUAAUAAUUUGAAGUAGUUUGAAGUACCACACUGAGGUGAGGACUUAAAAAUGAUAAGACGAGUUCCCUAUUUUAUAAGAAAAAUAAGCCAAAAUUAAAUAUUCUUUUGGAUAUAAAUUUCAACAGUAGAUAGCUGCCUAGUGGAAAUGAAUAAUAUCCCAGCCACUAGUGUACAGGGUGUUUUGUGGCACAGGAUUAUGUAAUAUGGAACUGCUCAAGCAAAUAACUAGUCAUCACAACAGCAGUUCUUUGUAAUAACUGAAAAAGAAUAUUGUUUCUCGGAGAAGGAUGUCAAAAGAUCGGCCCAGCUCAGGGAGCAGUUUGCCCUACUAGCUCCUCGGACAGCUGUAAGAAGAGUCUCUGGCUCUUUAGAAUACUGAUCCCAUUGAAGAUACCACGCUGCAUGUGUCCUUAGUAGUCAUGUCUCCUUAGGCUCCUCUUGAAUCCCCAGGCAACAAAACUAGAACAUUUGCCACUGAUCUGGCAACGUGGUCCUAUAUUAUGAGAGUUUUGCUCUUUCGCCCAGGCUGGAGUGAAGUGGCACGAUCUCGACUCACUGCAACCUCCUUCCCCCAUGAUCAAGCAAUUCUUCUGCCUCAGCCUCCCAAGUAGCUGGGAUUACAGGCGCCCGCCACCACGCCCGGCUAAUGACAUUCUGAGCAUGUGAGACCUGAGGACUGCAAACAGCUGUCAGAGGCUCCAAAUUCAGCAUAUCUUUCCUUUUGAGAAUCUGGCCAAGCUCCAGCUAAUCUACUUGGAUGGGUUGCCAGCUAUCUGGAGAAAAAGGUUGGUAGCCAGACUAUAACAGCUGUGCACAACUGUAAAUGUCCACUCUUCAAUCCACAUGAAGAAAAGGAUCUUCCUCAGAAGAAUAGGCUUGUUGCUUUACAGUGUUAGUGAUCCAUUCCCUUUGACGAUCCCUAGGUGGAGAUGGGGCAUGAGGAUCCUCCAGGGGAAAAGCUCACUACCACUGGGCAACAACCCUAGGUCAGGAGGUUCUGUCAAGAUACUUUCCUGGUCCCAGAUAGGAAGAUAAAGUCUCAAAAACAACCACCACAAGUCAAGGAGAACAUGGACAACUGUCACAUCAGUGACUUUGAUCACAUGGGCAAAUCAUUCUGUUCCAUGUAGUCCCCAAAGUCUCUCUUAAAGCCUUACAGAAGAACUUUGCCAAUCAUUUACAUACUUCAGGAUGGCUUGGGAUGCCAUGGGAUAUAACACAACAAGUGAGAGCUCUUCAUUGUUCCUAUCUGCCAAAUCAUUAUACUUCCUACAAGCGGUGCGGAGAGCUGAGUCUUCAGCAGGUCCAAGAAAUUUGAACACACUGAAGGAAGUCAGCCUUCCCACCUGAAGAUCAACGUGCCUGGCACUCUAGCACUUUAGGAUAGCUGAAUGAAUGUGUAUUUCUUUGUCUCUUUCUUCCUUGUCUUUGCUCUUUGUUCUCUAUCUAAAGUGUGUCUUACCCAUUUCCAUGUUUCUCUUGCUAAUUUCUUUCAUGUGUGCCUUUGCCUCAUUUUCUCUUUUUGUUCACAAGAGUGGUCUGUGUCUUGUCUUAGACAUAUCUCUCAUUUUUCAUUUUGUUGCUGUUUCUGUUUGCUCUCCUAGAUGUGGCUCUUCUUUCACGCUUUAUUUCAUGUCUCCUUUUUGGGUCACAUGCUGUGUGCUUUUUGUCUUUUUCUUGUUCUGUCUACCUCUCCUUUCUCUGCCUACCUCUCUUUUCUCUUUGUGAACUGUGAUUACUUGUUACCCCUUCCCCUUCUUGUUCGUUUUAAAUUUCACCUUUUUUCUGAGUCUGGCCUCCUUUCUGCUGUUUCUACUUUUUAUCUCACAUUUCUCGUUUCUGCAUUUCCUUUCUGCCUCUCUUGGGCUAUUUUCUCUCUCCUCCCCUGCGUGCCUCAGCAUCUCUUGCUGUUUGUGAUUUUCUAUUUCAGUAUUAAUCUCUGUUGGCUUGUAUUUCUUCUCUGCUUCUUCCCUUUCUACUCACCUUUGAGUAUUUCAGCCUCUUCAUGAAUCUAUCUCCCUCUCUUUGAUUUCAUGUAAUCUCUCCUUAAAUAUUUCUUUGCAUAUGUGGGCAAGUGUACGUGUGUGUGUGUCAUGUGUGGCAGAGGGGCUUCCUAACCCCUGCCUGAUAGGUGCAGAACGUCGGCUAUCAGAAUAAGCAUUGUGGAGCGAUUCCUUAUGCCAGGCUGCCACGUGAGAUGAUCCAAGACCAAAACAAGGCCCUAGACUGCAGUAAAACCCAAAACUCGAGUAGGACAGAAGGUGGAAGGCUCAUAUGGGUAGAAGGCCCAGAGUAGAAGACAGAUGGUUUGAGACUUGAGACCCGAGGACUAAGAUGGAAAGCCCGUGUUCCAAGAUAGAUAGAAGCCUCAGGCCUGAAACCAACAAAAGCCUCAAGAGCCAAGAAAACAGAGGGUGGCCUGAAUUGGACCGAAGGCCUGAGUUGGAUGGAAGUCUCAAGGCUUGAGUUAGAAGUCUUAAGACCUGGGACAGGACACAUGGAAGGCCUAAGAACUGAGACUUGUGACACAAGGCCAAAGACCUAAGAUUAUCCCAGGGUUGUAGCUGGAAGACCUACAACCCAAGGAUGGAAGGCCCCUGUCACAAAGCCUACCUAGAUGGAUAGAGGACCCAAGUGAAACAGGUAUCUCAAGACUAAAGGCCGGAAUCUGGAGGCCCAUGACCCAGAACCCAGGAAGGAUAGAAGCUUGAAGACCUGGGGAAAUCCCAAGAUGAGAACCCUAAACUCUACCUCUUUUCUAUUGUUUACACUUCUUACUCUUAGAUAUUUCCAGUUCUCCUGUUUCUCUUUAAGCCUGAUUCUUUUGAGAUGUACUUUUUGAUGUUGCCAGUUACCUUUAGAUUGACAGUAUUAUGCCUGGGCCAGUCUUGAGCCAGCUUUAAAUCACAGCUUUUACCUAUUUGUUAGGCUAUAGUGUUUUGUAAACUUCUGUAUCUAUUCACAUCUUCUCCACUUGGGAGAGACACCAAAAUCCAGUCAGUAUCUAAUCUAAUCUGGCUUUUGUUAACUUCCCUCAGGAGCAGGCAUUUAUAUAGGUGAUACUGUAUUUCAGUCCUCUCUUUUAACCCCAGAAGCCCUAGACUGAGAAGAUAAAAUGGUCAGGUUGUUGGGGAAAAAAAAGUGCCAGGCUCUCUAGAGAAAAAUGUGAAGAGAUGCUCCAGGCCAAUGAGAAGAAUUAGACAAGAAAUACACAGAUGUACCAGACUUCCGAGAAGCACCUGCCAGCAACAGCUUCCUUCUUUGAGCUUAGGUGAGCAGGAUUCUGGGGUUUGGGAUUUCUAGUGAUAGUUAUGGAAAGGGUGACUGCCUGGGACAAAGCGAGGUCCCAAGGGGACAGCCUGAACUCCCUGCUCAUAGUAGUGGCCAAAUAAUUUGGUGGACUGUGCCAACCCUACUCCUGGGUUUAAUACCCAUCUCUAGGCUUAAAGGCGAGAGAACCUGGGACUAUUGAGCACAUUUAAUAUUUUCCUUGAUUUUUUUCUUCCUGUUUAUGUGGGAAGUUGAUUUAAAUGACUGAUAAUGUGUAUGAAAGCACUGUAAAACAUAAGAGAAAAACCAAGGCGUGCUCCUUAUUAGUGUAUUGGCAAUCAUGCAGUUAACAUUUGAAAGUGCAGUGUAAAUUGUGAAGCAUUAUGUAACUCGGGUCCACAGUUUUUCUGUAAGGGGUCAAAUCAUAAUACUUUAGACUGUGGGCCAUAUGGUUUCUGUUACAUAUUUGUUUUUUAAACAACCUUUCUAUAAGGUCGAAAUCAUUCUUAGUUUUUGAGCCAAUUGGAUUUGGCCUGCUGUUCAUAGCUUACCACCCCCGAUGUAUUAUUUGUUAUUCAGAGAAAAUUUCUGAAUACUACUAGUUUCCUUUUCUGUGUCUGUCCCUGUGCUAGGCACUAAAAAUGCAAUGAUUAUUGAUAUCUAGGUGACCUGAAAAAAAAUAGUGAAUGUGCUUUGUAAACUGUAAAGCACUUGUAUUCUACUGUGAUAAGCAUUGUGGAUACAAAGAAAGGAGCAAGCAUAAAAAAGUGCUCUUUCAAAAGGAAUAUAGUACUAUGCAGACACAAGGAAUUGUUUGAUGAAUGAAUAAAUUAUAUGUAUAUCUGAGGCCAAUUUGUGUUUGCUGCUCUGGUAAUUUUGAGUAAAAAUGCAGUAUUCCAGGUAUCAGAAACGAAAACACAUGGAAACUGCUUUUAAACUUUAAAAUAUACUGAAAACAUAAGGGACUAAGCUUGUUGUGGUCACCUAUAAUGUGCCAGAUACCAUGCUGGGUGCUAGAGCUACCAAAGGGGGAAAAAUAUUCUCAUAGAACAAAAAAUUUCAGAAAGGUGCAUAUUAAAGUGCUUUGUAAACUAAAGCACGAUACAAAUGUCAAUGGGCUACAUAUUUAUGAAUGAAUGAAUGAAUGGAUGAAUGAAUAUUAAGUGCCUCUUACAUCCCAGCUAUUUUGGGUACUGUAAAAUACAAGAUUAAUUCUCCUAUGUAAUAAGAGGAAAGUUUAUCCUCUAUACUAUUCAGAUGUAAGGAAUAAUAUAUUGCUUAAUUUUAAACAAUCAAGACUUUACUGGUGAGGUUAAGUUAAAUUAUUACCGAUACAUUUUCCCAGGUAACCAGGAAAGAGCUAGUAUGAGGAAAUGAAGUAAUAGAUGUGAGAUCCAGACCAAAAGUCACUUAAUUCAGCUUGCGAAUGUGCUUUCUAAAUUAUAAAGCACUUGUGAAUGAAAAAUUCGAUGCUUUCUGUAUGAAUAAAACUUUCUGUAAGCUAGGUAUUGUCUCUACAAAAUUCUCAUUGUAUAGUUAAACCACAGUGAGAAGGGUUCUAUAAGUAGUUAUACAAACCAAGGGUUUAAAUACCUGUUAAAUAGAGCAAUUUUGAUUGCCUACUAUGUGAACUCACUGUUAAAGGCACUGAAAAUUUAUCAUAUUUCAUUUAGCCAUGGCCAAAAAUAAGGCAAUACCUAUGUUAGCAUUUUGUGAACUCUAAGGCACCAUAUAAAUGUAACUGUUGAUUUUCUCACUUGGUGCUGAGUACUAGGUUUAUAAAAUUGUAUGCUAAUUAUAUUGUGCAAAUAAAGUAGGAAAAUUUGAAUAACAAUGAUUAUCUUUUGAAUACGCAUAUGCAAGGGAUUGGUUGUCUGAAGAAUGCCACUAUAGUAGUUAUCUAUUGUGUGCCAAUCUCAUUGCUAGGCAUUGGGGAUGUAAAGAUAAACCAUCUUUAUUGUGUCUUGGGUAGCAGAAGAAAAUAUGUGUAAAAUCAAUUUAUAAUUUCUAAACUGCCACCCAUAUAUAAGCAAUAUCUGCUGAAUGAUCAUCGAUUACUCUUAUCCUUAGAGAUAACAACUGGGGACACAAACAUUUAUUAUCAUUAUUGAACCUACAACAGAGAUCUAUGUGUAGAUUUACAAGCCUACAGUUCUAUACAGAUAGGAAUGAACUAUUGGCUUACUGAAUGGUGAUUACUUUCUGUGGGGCUCGGAACUACAUGCCCUAGGAUAUAAAAAUGAUGUUAUCAUUAUAGAGUGCUCACAGAAGGAAAUGAAGUAAUAGGUGUGAGAUCCAGACCAUAAGUCACUUAACAAGUUUAUUCAAUGAUGAAACCAUGGGACAAAAUGGACUAGUAUAAGGCAGUGUACUAAGCUAAGUAGAGAGAUAAAGUCCUGUCCAGAAGAUACAUGCUUCCUGGCGUGAUUGAGGAGAUGGAAAAUUUUUGCAAAAAACAAGGUGUUGUGGUCUUCCAUCCAGUUUCUUAAGUGCCGAUGAUAGAAGUGAAUUACCCACCUUGGCCUGGCCUACAGAAGUAAAGGAGUAAAAAUAAAUGCCUCAGGCUUGCUUUUUGAUUCAUUUGAUAAACAAAGCAUCUUUUAUGUGGAAUAUACCAUUCUGGGUCCUGAGGAUAAGAGAGAUGAGGGCAUUAGAUCACUGACAGCUGAAGAUAGAAGAACAUCUUUGGUUUGAUUGUAUAAAUAAUAUUUCAGUGCCUAUUCUCUGCAAGGUACUAUGUUUGGUAAAUUAGUAAAUUAAAUAGGUCUGGCCCAGAAGACCCACUCAAUUGCCUUUGAGAUUAAAAAAAAAAAAAGAAAGAAAGAAAAACGCAAGUUUCUUUCAAAAUAAAGAGACAUUUUUCCUAGUUUCAGGAAUCCCCCAAAUCGCUUGCUCAUUGGCUUAGUUUAAAGCCAGAAGACUGAUAAAAGGGCUCAGGGUUUGUUCUUUAAUUCAUUACCGAAACAUUCUGCUUUUAUUACAGUUAAAUGGUUCAAGAUGAAACAACUAGUUUUAAAGGUAUUUGCUCAUUGGUCAGGCUUAGAAACAGGAAGACAUUUGAGCAAUAAAAAAAAGAUUCUUUUGCAUUUACCAAUUUAGUAAAAAUUUAUUAAAACAAUAAAGUGCUGUUCUUAAGUGCCUGAAAGACCUAAACCAAAGUGCACUUUAUCUCAUUUAUCUUAUGGUGGAAACACAGGAACAAAUUCUCUAAGAGACUGUGUUUCUUUAGUUGAGAAGAAACUUCAUUGAGUGGCUGUGAUAUGUUCGAUACUAAGGAAAAACUAAACAGAUCACCUUUGACAUGCGCUGUAGAGUGGGAAUAAGAGAGGGCUUUUUAUUUUUUCAUUCAUAUGAAUAUUGAUGAAGAUGAUACUAAAUGCUAAAUGAAAUAUAUCUGCUCCAAAAGGCAUUUAUUCUGACUUGGAGAUGCAACAAAAACACAAUAAAUGGAAUGAAGUGAUACUCUUCAUCAAACAGAAGUGACUGUUAUGUCAACCAUUUUGUUAAAUCCUAGACAGAAAACAAAAAAAAUCAUGACGAAAAGAUACUUGCUUAUUAAUUGGCUUGGAAAGUAGAAUAUAGGAGAAAGGUUACUGUUUAUUUUUUUUUCAUGUAUUCAUUCAUUCUACAAAUAUAUUUGGGUGCCAAUAGGUACUUGGUAUAAGGUUUUUGGCCCCAGAGACAUGGGAAAAAAAAUGCAUGUACCUUCCCAGAGAAUGCCAAGUACUUUCGUUUUGGCUUGUUUUCUUGUUAGGGGCAUGGCUUAGUCCCUAAAUAACAUUGUGUGGUUUAAUUCCUACUCUGUAUCUCUUCUACCACUCUGGCCACUACGAUAAGCAGGUAGCUGGGUUUUGUAGUGAGCUUGCUCCUUAAGUUGCGGGAACUCUCCUUAUAAUAGACACUUCGUUUUCCUAGUCCAUCCCUCAUGAAAAAUGACUGACCACUGCUGGGCAGCAGGAGGGAUGAUGACCAACUAAUUCCCAAACCCUAGUCUCAUUGGUACCAGCCUUGGGGAACCACCCACACUUGAGCCACAAUUGGUUUUGAAGUGCAUUUACAAGGUUUGUCUAUUUUCAGUUCUUUACUUUUUACGUGCUGACACAUACAUACACUGCCUAAAUAGAUCUCUUUCAGAAACAAUCCUCAGAUAACGCAUAGCAAAAUGGAGAUGGAGACAUGAUUUCUCAUGCAACAGCUUCUCAAAUUAUACCUUAGAAAUGUUCUCCUUUUAUCAUCAAAUCUGCUCAAGAAGGGCUUCUUAUAGUAGAAUAAUAUCAGUGGAUGAAAACAGCUUAACAUUUUACCGUGCUUAAGUUUUAAGAAUAAAAUAAAAAUUGGAAAUAAUUGGCCAAAAUUGAAAGGAAAAUUUUUUUAAAAAAUUUCUCUAAAUGUAGGCCUGGCUGGGCUUUGACCUUUUCCAUUUUUAAAUCACUCACAGAGGGUGGGACAGGAGGAAGAGUGAAGGAAAA